UACGUAGGGGGCAAGCGUUGUCCGGAUUUACUGGGCGUAAAGCGCGCGUAGGCGGAGCGUCAAGUCCGGCCUGAAAGCCCCCGGCUCAACCGGGGAGGGCGGCUGGAAACUGGCGUUCUUGAGGGCGAGAGAGGAGGGUGGAAUUCCUGGUGUAGCGGUGAAAUGCGUAGAGAUCCGGAGGAACCCCAGAGGCGAAGGCGGCGUCCUGGCUCGCAUCUGACGCUCAGACACGACAGCAUGGGGAGCGAACGGG
rnacentral:rRNA from 1 species